CUAAAUGAGGGACAUUCUGUUCCCAUAGGGCUUCUGCUUCUUGGGAUUGUUUGCAGUUAAGAGAGCCGGUUAAGUGUACAAGAACAUAAGGACAGAAACGGAUUAUAAUAACAUGGCAGCAGCUACAGAACCAAAACAGAAAAGAACACACAUACUAUGAGCAGUCUGGAUGGUACCGUGUGUGUAGUACCCUGUUGUAGAGGUGUGUGCUGUGUUGUACCCUGUUGUAGAGGUGUGUUGUACCCUGUUGUAGAGGUGUGUGCUGUGUUGUACCCUGUUGUAGAGGUGUGUGCUGUGUUGUACCCUGUUGUAGAGGUGUUGUGUUGUACCCUGUUGUAGAGGUGUGUGUUGAGUUUUACUCUGUUGUAGAGGUGUGUGUUGAGUUUUACCCUGUUGUAGAGGUGUGUGUUGUGUUGUACCCUGUUGUAGAGGUGUGUGCUGUGUUGUACCCUGUUGUAGAGGUGUGUUGUACCCUGUUGUAGAGGUGUGUUGUACCCUGUUGUAGAGGUGUGUGCUGUGUUGUACCCUGUUUUAGAGGUGUGUGCUGUGUUGUACCCUGUUGUAGAGGUGUGUGCUGUGUUGUACCCUGUUGUAGAGGUGUGUAGUACCCUGUUGUAGAGGUGUGUGUUGUGUUGUACCCUGUUGUAGAGGUGUGUGCUGUGUUGUACCCUGUUGUAGAGGUGUGUGUUGUGUUGUACCCUGUUGUAGAGGUGUGUAGUACCCUGUUGUAGAGGUGUGUGCUGUGUUGUACCCUGUUGUAGAGGUGUUGUACCCUGUUGUAGAGGUGUGUGCUGUGUUGUACCCUGUUGUAGAGGUGUGUGUUGUGUUGUACCCUGUUGUAGAGGUGUGUUGUACCCUGUUGUAGAGGUGUGUGGUGUGUUGUACCCUGUUGUAGAGGUGUGUGUUGUGUUGUACCCUGUUGUAGAGGUGUGUUGCACCCUGUUGUAGAGGUGUGUGGUGUGUUGUACCCUGUUGUAGAGGUGUGUUGUACCCUGUUGUAGAGGUGUGUUGUACCCUGUUGUAGAGGUGUGUGCUGUGUUGUACCCUGUUGUAGAGGUGUGUGCUGUGUUUUACUCUGUUGUAGAGGUGUGUGUUGAGUUUUACCCUGUUGUAGAGGUGUGUGUUGUGUUGUACCCUGUUGUUGAGGUGUGUUGUACCCUGUUGUACAUUUACAUUUACAUUUAAGUCAUUUAGCAGACGCUCUUAUCCAGAGCCACUUACAAAUUGGUGCAUACAC